ensembl:lncRNA
AAAAAUCAACUGAGGAUCACAUACAAAAAACACUUGUUUGAGAUUUUCAAAGGAAAAAAAUAGAAAAUACUUUAAUCAUUUUAAAAAUGAUUUCUGGAUAAGAACUCAGAAUUUCAUUAAUUAAAUGUAGAAAAUCAUAAUGUUCAUAUAUAAUAAAUGUCUGCAACUUGCCUAGGGAGAGGAGAAUAAUAAUUGAGUCCGAGCCCCUCAUUCCUUUUUGUUUUUCAGCAUCAGUGCAGAAGGAAGAGGAGCAAAGGGAGCAUUUGCAUGGCCUCUUGUGGUUGCAGGGUCCCCAUGCAGCCGAG